rfam:Cephalotus follicularis DNA, scaffold: scaffold2938, isolate: St1.
AAACCAUGAUGAGGACACUCUAAGAGGAGGUCUUUGAAACGUUCCAUACAUCUAGAAAAUAAUUCAUUGGGUUUUUGACGAAGCUGGAGAAUGUCGUUCCUAAGUUU